UACGUAGGGUGCGAGCGUUAUCCGGAAUUAUUGGGCGUAAAGAGCUCGUAGGCGGUUUGUCGCGUCUGCCGUGAAAGUCCGGGGCUCAACCCCGGAUCUGCGGUGGGUACGGGCAGACUUGAGUGCAGUAGGGGAGACUGGAAUUCCUGGUGUAGCGGUGAAAUGCGCAGAUAUCAGGAGGAACACCAAUUGCGAAGGCAGCUCGCUGGAACGUAACUGACACUGAGACGCGAAAGCGUGGGGAGCAAACAGG
rnacentral:rRNA from 1 species